rnacentral:rRNA from 1 species
AGUCACAGCCAUGUCACCCUGCAGCCCAAGACUGGUUACUCACUGAAGCUAAGCAGGGCUAAGCCUGGUCAGUACCUGGAUGGGAGACCACUAGGGAACACUAGGUUGCUGUUGGAA